rnacentral:lncRNA from 1 species
UUUCGUCGCACAAAAUGUAUUUUGUAGUAGUGUUAGAAGGCAAGUAUUAUCGGCAAUUUAACAGAAAUUAUCACGCACUUAUCCAUGGUUACACUGCGCUGGAGAAAUAUAUAUAUAUAUAACAAUGAGUUGUGUUGUUCAUUGUCAUUUUGUGUUGAUACAUGCCAAGUACUAGUCAACUUAGUCCUAUUAAUACUAUGUUUAGCCCAUGUGAGAAAGAGACUUAAUUAUCACUAACCUGAUUUGUUUAUUAAUAUUUGACAUACAUAUCUAAACUAUUAUAAACUCACAGCUACUAAUCUCCUCCUAUGUCUAUAAACUAAACCCAUGAUCAUUAGACUCAUACAUGAAGGUAUCCUCACAUGAUAAAUGUUAACUUGUCAUAAAUUCUAGUUAAUAAGUGUGAAAUGCCCUCUUAAGGUUUACAAAUACUAUAGUAGAAGAUCAAUGAAAUAGAAUGAAAGAAAAAUGACAUUUCAUCAAAAAGAUCACGUCAGAAAUUCAAGUUACUCGUAUUGACACUAUUUCAAUGUUAUCACUUUGUGUUAGUAGGUUCAACUAUUUUGAAUUCAUGAAGAGUUAUAGUUAACCCAAUUCAUCUAAGAAUAUGACAUAAUAGAGGUUAUAGAUAAAAGAGAUCAUGAUUAGUCGUCCUUGAAUAUAGGUUUCUGGAACACCAGAGAAAUGAGAAAAGCUCUCGAAUUUUGAUUAAUAAUAUGAAAGCUAACAAACCUAAUGCCAAGAUGGCCAAUGUAUAAUGUAACUUAACCUUGGAAACCCUAAGAAUCCAAAUAGGAAAGGAAUUAAACAAAUAACAAAAUAAUAAAAUAUCUUAAAAUAUUAAACCCCCAAAUUAAAAAAAUUAAACGACAUAAUUGCCCAAAUUUCAACUGGGUUCGUUAACGAGUCUUGUAGGUUUGUCAUUUUUUUCGAAUUCAUAUAUUACAUGCUCAAAAUUGACAUGCCGAAAGAAAGUAGCGUUAAACUGAACAACCUAAAAAGUUCAAUACUUCCACUCUUAGGGUAUGACAUCAACAAAUAAUCUUUUUAACUCGUGAAUUACAAAUUCUCCAAUCACUUUUAUUAAUUAAAUGACGUUUCCUUCUUUUAAUUUUCCCGCUUCUAAAAAUAAUAUCAAUUUCAUCCUCGGCCAAAAUAUGUAUCCUCUACUGAUAUUUUUAGUACUACUUUCAAAGCUUAUUAGAGACAUAAGGGGUUUUACUAGGCUUUAGAGGUUACUAUAUGGAAUUUAUAUUGGAAUGACAACUAUACAGGAGAAAUUUCAAUUGCACAUCACAUGAACUUACUUGGGAACAAGCCCUUUGCUCGUUGCACGAUGUACUUUCAUGGUCCAAAUCAUUUAUAUUUUAAGGUCAUCUAAUCCAGUGGUGAAGCUAGGAUUAGCUGAAUGCAGGGGUCAUGACCAACCCUAGUCUCUUCUACUCUCGUCUCCUGCAUCUAAUUAUAUUUUAAAGAUUUUGCAUACUAAAAGUAUUCGAUUGGAGAUGAGUAGUCAUCUAGUUAUGGUCGAAUAAUUGAUGAACAACAUAAAUUUGAUAAAACCCGUGAUCUAGUGGAUAAAAAAAAAAAAAAUUAUCGCAGCCAUCAAGAUAAUUAACCACUUAAAAAAUACUAAAAAGAAUUGUGUUGUAAUCAAAUAGCUAAAAAUAAUGUUCAUCAUUGACCCUCAAGACCAAUAAUUUCCCUUAAAUUUCAAAGUUUCAAGUGGUGUUCUUUUAUUGUAUCAACAAAUACCAUUUCAUCAAGCAUAGUAGUUGAAGGCUCCAAGCAACACGUCAUGGUGAGGUGCCCUUUCCAUAUCCCUUCUCCUCCUGGAUGAGGAUUCCCUCCGGAUCUUCUUUGUAAGGAUUCUAAAGAUCAAUUCAUCUUAGCCGUUCAU